GGUUCAGUGUCCGAGUGGUCUAUGGUGUAACCUUGGAAAGGUUAUGUAGUUUAUUCUACCGCGGGUUCGACUCCCGCCUGAACCUCCA
rnacentral:tRNA from 1 species